ensembl:lncRNA
CCGUCCUUUCCUAAAAUCUGCAGCUCAUGGUGAGUAAGCUCAAUUCUUACUGAAAUCUUCCCAACACAUGGAGGGGCACCCCUGCCGGCCAGGUGCCACCACGCACUCCUUCACAGCAGAACGCUCAUCAGAACCCCUUAGAAAGUUUGAGCGUUUGUUGGCGGGCUGUUCCAAACAGCCUCAUUACUUCCUGCCCAGGGUCACAGCAUAACUGAGUUACUGGAAAUCUGGGGCCAGUUUGGUAAUUUUAUGAUAAAGUUGAGAAAUAAAAUUACCAAACCCGAAAAGACAGCUGAAUAAGUUGUGUACGAGAGAAGGAGUUUAAUCCUGUGGCCUUUGCCGGCAGGGUCCCCUGCUUCUGCAGGAGAGCAGGCCUGCAGUCAGCUGCCAGGGUCUCGAUGGGCUCCAGGAGAGCUGGCCGCGCUGUCUCUUGUUUCCAGUGUGUCAGGGAGCCUCAGUUUAGCAUCGGUUCUAUGGGCUGAAAGGGAGAGUCCAGGUAUGUUUUGUUUCCCAGUCAGCAUUUAGGAGAAACGCUUGUUUCUUGCUGUAUUUCCUGCCUGUGACAAAUCAGGAUAGCCUCAGAACUGUCAGUUACACCAGAAGAAGCGUUUUUGUGUGUGUUUUAGGUCUGCGGAUAAGUUCAGUUCAGUGUGUAAGUCUACUGAGCAGUGAUUGUAUUAACUGAAGGGAGACAUUUUUUUCUUUUUGAAAGCAAAUAGGUGAUUUGAAAGAGCCAGACGAACAGCUUUAGUAUUUACUCAACAGAUAGGGAGGGGAAAAUUUAAAUAUGGCUAAAGAAAGAUCUUGGGCCUUAAAAGGCAUUGCCCUUGUUUAUAUAUAAUCUGAAGUUGGGUUAAAUUGGGUAUAAUUAAGAACACUCACCAUUUGGCUCUGUGGAAAAAGAGGUGUGGGUGUGUGGGGUGAUGGGUAAUAUAAUGGUUACGGUGAUUUGUAUAUGUGUGUGUAUAUGCACAUGGAGAAAUACAAAUAUAUAUACAUAUACACACUCAGUUAUCUCUGUGUGUGUGUGUAUGCACGUAGAGAAAUACAAAUAUAUAUACAUAUACACACUCAGUUAUCUCUGUGUGUGUGUAUAUGCACAGAAAUACAAAUGCAUAUACAUAUACACACUCAGUUAUCUCUGUGUGUGCGUGCAGCAUUUUCUGUGUAUAGUUAAAAAAUACACUUUUUUUCUUUUGGUUCGUUCAAAUUGUCUUUAGUUAGUCCUGUUCAGAAUCUUUUCUAAAUACUUAGGGUAGUACUGGUUAAGUGGUAAUAAUAGAAACUCGCUGAUAGCAAUGCUUCUUGCUUAAUUAAAAAUUAAAAAAAAAUAAUUUCCCUUAUAGUUCUCUUUCACGUCAAGGUGGAAUUUUUAAAGGCCAGUUUUCUAAAUACUUAGGGUAGUACUGGUAAAGCGGUAAUAAUAGAAACUCACUGAUAGCAAUGCUUCUUGCUUAAUUAAAAAUUAAAAAAAUUAAUUUCCCUUAUAGUUCUCUUUCAUGUCAAGAUGGAAUUUUUAAAGGCCAGUUUACAGGCCACAGUUAUCUGUUAAUGUUGCUGUUACUGAAACUAAAGCUAAUAGGUGGCGCUUUAAGUUCACAGUAAGAUCCUUUGUUGACCUUAAUUGAUUUAGGGGGAAUCAGGCUGGGUUCAUCAUCAUAACCUGCAGAUGUGCUAGCAGGAUUGUAUUUCUGUGCUGACUUCGUCUCCCAUGUAGAACUGAGCACCUACACUGAAUAUCAGCAAAGUGAGACUGUCUUCUCACAGCUUCUCAGGCUCUGCCUUUGAAUAAUCAUUCACUUUCCAAUAGGUGGUGUUGAAUAUAAGCUGAAUAUUUUAAUCUUUCUCUUUAGCUUUUAAACAUCCUUCCAUAGCUAUAUUAGGAAAGUCAGGUUGACCAUCUGCUCAGUGGGUGUGACCUUGGUGAUUUCCUUGAAAUAGUGUUGAAGGAUUCAGUCAGUGGGUCUUGGUCACCACUGUCGGUUGCUAUGCGGAGUUCUCUUCACUUGUCAGACUAAGGAAAAAAAUUGUGUGUGUGAAAUAGAGAAGGAAAACCUGUAGAAAAACUGUCAGUUUCCUAACCAGAUCUUGGAGAUAAUUUUGAAGUUUAAAGGAUACAAAUGAAUGGGCCAGAGGCUAGCAGUCUGUUUAGACUGAAUGUGUCAACAUCCAUUUGGAUACCUUGGUAGCUUGGAUGACUUGCUGGAAUACUGCAAAUUACUUGGCUGUAAAUAGAAUUUUCAUGUGUUUUUAACAGGCUUUGAGGACGUUGAAUACCUUAUUGCUGCCCACCAUGGUAGCAGAUGCUCCGCGUUAGGCGACCUGCCCAGCUGGGGUGUGCUGUCUUUGAGGUCACUGGUUUGAGAACAGCUGUACAUAAAGAACAGUAUUUCCAAGUCACUUGGUCAGCAAGGUGGCAUUGAUAGGCACAAAUCACGGUGCUUCUCAUUAAGCAUUAUAGAAUGGGUAGUAGUUGCUAAUUUCAAGGUCUGUAGGUAUUGGCAGAAUUCAUAGUAACUUUACUCACACAUUGAAUAUCUGCUUUUUAAAAAAAAAAAUGGCUUAAAGAACACCAGACUUGCAUUUUAUUUUAGGUGGUUACAGCAGUAUGGUUCUUUCUUUUCAAAGCUUAUGUUGUGGUAAAUUAAGAAAAAAGAGUAUCUACUGACGUGAUCACAAUAUAACUUAGUUUUCUCUCCAGAUAGGUUAUACUGAAUAACCUGUUGCUUUAGGUGCCUGAGGAGUAAAUGGCUGACGGUUGAGUGCUGUCGUUAACCUGAGGAAAAGUUAAGAUACUGGAAAAUUUUCUUGCUGAGCACCUUUGGCUCAGCUUAGUGUGUUCGGAAGGCUCCCUCUUCUGCACACUAGCGUUUAGAGGGAGCGUCUCCCCCCGAACCCAGCUCCAGCCCCAUCGGUUGCUGCACGCUGGGGGCCUGUGCUGGGGGCCUGUGGGCUCACACUCCCUCCGUGGGGGGCUGCUGCCAGCAUGCCUGCUUUUCAUAAGUUGUUAUUCAGGUCUUUGUAGGAUGGGCGCUCUGUAAAGAGUUUUGAUUUUUGGUGAGCAGCCUAGUCUUGGUAGGUACUGAUUCAUAGUUUAAGGAAGUGUUUUGUCUCCAUUGAGUGUCUGUGUCAAGAGUUGAGGGCAGGGACUUCCCUGGGGGUCCAGGGGUUAAGACCCCGAACUCCCGAGGCAGGGGGCCCAGGUUCCAUCCCUGGUCAGGGAGCUGAGGUCCCACACGCGGCCGCCGCACAACGUAGCGGAAAGUAAAUACGUAAAUAAAAUGGGAAAGAGUUG